rnacentral:rRNA from 1 species
AGUCGAACGAGCGAGAGAGAGCUUGCUUUCUCGAGCGAGUGGCGAACGGGUGAGUAACGCGUGAGGAACCUGCCUCAAAGAGGGGGACAACAGUUGGAAACGACUGCUAAUACCGCAUAAGCCCACAGCUCGGCAUCGAGCAGAGGGAAAAGGAGCAAUCCGCUUUGAGAUGGCCUCGCGUCCGAUUAGCUAGUUGGUGAGGUAAUGGCCCACCAAGGCGACGAUCGGUAGCCGGACUUAGAGGUUGAACGGCCACAUUGGGACUGAGACACGGCCCAGACUCCUACGGGAGGCAGCAGUGGGGAAUAUUGCACAAUGGGGGAAACCCUGAUGCAGCGACGCCGCGUGGAGGAAGAAGGUCUUCGGAUUGUAAACUCCUGUUGUUGAGGAAGAUAAUGACGGUACUCAACAAGGAAGUGACGGCUAACUACGUGCCAGCAGCCGCGGUAAAACGUAGGUCACAAGCGUUGUCCGGAAUUACUGGGUGUAAAGGGAGCGCAGGCGGGAAGACAAGUUGGAAGUGAAAUCCAUGGGCUCAACCCAUGAACUGCUUUCAAAACUGUUUUUCUUGAGUAGUGCAGAGGUAGGCGGAAUUCCCGGUGUAGCGGUGGAAUGCGUAGAUAUCGGGAGGAACACCAGUGGCGAAGGCGGCCUACUGGGCACCAACUGACGCUGAGGCUCGAAAGUGUGGGUAGCAAACAGGAUUAGAUACCCUGGUAGUCCACACUGCAAACGAUGAUUACUAGGUGUUGGAGGAUUGACCCCUUCAGUGCCGCAGUUAACACAAUAAGUAAUCCACCUGGGGAGUACGACCGCAAGGUUGAAACUCAAAGGAAUUGACGGGGGCCCGCACAAGCAGUGGA